ACAGUAUGUAGCAAUACAUAUGGGUGGCGAGUGGCGGACGGGUGAGUAACGCGUAGGAAUCUGCCUUUAAGAGGGGGACAACCCGAGGAAACUCGGGCUAAUACCGCAUAAUUUCGGAAGAACGAAUGCUGGGUAGCAAUACCUGGCGCUUAAAGAGGAGCCUGCGUCCGAUUAGCUAGUUGGUGGGGUAAAAGCCUACCAAGGCGAUGAUCGGUAGCUGGUCUGAGAGGAUGAUCAGCCACACUGGGACUGAGACACGGCCCAGACUCCUACGGGAGGCAGCAGUGGGGAAUAUUGGACAAUGGGGGCAACCCUGAUCCAGCAAUGCCGCGUGUGUGAAGAAGGCCUUCGGGUUGUAAAGCACUUUAGGAUGGGAGGAAGGUAUUUUGUUUAAGAGAUGAGAUACUUGACUGUACCAUCAGAAUAAGCACCGGCUAACUCUGUGCCAGCAGCCGCGGUAAUACAGAGGGUGCAAGCGUUAAUCGGAGUUACUGGGCGUAAAGGGCGCGUAGGUGGAUGAAUAAGUGAGUUGUGAAAUCCCUGGGCUUAACCUAGGAACUGCAACUUAUACUGUUUAUCUUGAGUACUGUAGAGGGUAGUGGAAUUUCCGGUGUAGCGGUGAAAUGCGUAGAGAUCGGAAGGAACACCAGUGGCGAAGGCGGCUACCUGGACAGAUACUGACACUGAGGCGCGAGAGCGUGGGUAGCAAACAGGAUUAGAUACCCUGGUAGUCCACGCUGUAAACGAUGAAAACUAGAUGUUGGUGAGCGUGACUCAUUAGUAUCGAAGCUAACGCGAUA
rnacentral:rRNA from 1 species